GACGAACGCUGGCGGCGUGCCUAAUACAUGCAAGUCGAACGCACAGUUUAUACCGUAGCUUGCUACACCAUAGACUGUGAGUUGCGAACGGGUUAGUAACGCGUAGCUAACCUGCCUGGUAGCGGGGGAUAACUAUUGGAAACGAUAGCUAAUACCGCAUAAUAUUAAUUAUUGCAUGAUAAUUAAUUGAAAGGUGCAAUUGCACCACUACCAGAUGGACCUGCGUUGUAUUAGCUAGUAGGUGAGGUAACGGCUCACCUAGGCGACGAUACAUAGCCGACCUGGGAAGGUGAACGGCCACACUGGGACUGAGACACGGCCCAGACUCCUACGGGAGGCAGCAGUAGGGGAUCUUCGGCAAUGGACGAAAGUCUGAACGAGCAACGCCGCGUGAGUGGAGAAGGUUUUCGGAUCGUAAAGCUCUGUUGUAAGAGAAGAACGGGUGUGAGAGUGGAAAGUUCACACUGUGACGGUAUCUUAACAGAAAGGGACGGCUAACUACGUG
rnacentral:rRNA from 1 species